UACGUAGGGUGCAAGCGUUGUCCGGAAUUAUUGGGCGUAAAGAGCUCGUAGGCGGUCUGUCGCGUCUGCUGUGAAAACUCGGGGCUUAACCCCGAGCCUGCAGUGGAUACGGGCAGACUAGAGGUAGGCAGGGGAGAACGGAAUUCCUGGUGUAGCGGUGGAAUGCGCAGAUAUCAGGAGGAACACCGGUGGCGAAGGCGGUUCUCUGGGCAUUACCUGACGCUGAGGAGCGAAAGUGUGGGGAGCGAACAGG
rnacentral:rRNA from 1 species